rnacentral:rRNA from 1 species
AUUGAACGCUGGCGGAAUGCUUUACACAUGCAAGUCGAACGGUAGAGGGGGCAACCCCUCGAGAGUGGCGAACGGGUGAGUAAUAUAUCGGAACGUGCCCAGUCGUGGGGGAUAACGUAGCGAAAGUUACGCUAAUACCGCAUACGAUCUACGGAUGAAAGCGGGGGAUCGCAAGACCUCGCGCGAUUGGAGCGGCCGAUAUCAGAUUAGGUAGUUGGUGGGGUAAAGGCUCACCAAGCCAACGAUCUGUAGCUGGUCUGAGAGGACGACCAGCCACACUGGAACUGAGACACGGUCCAGACUCCUACGGGAGGCAGCAGUGGGGAAUAUUGGGCAAUGGAGGAAACUCUGACCCAGCGACGCCGCGUGAGGGAUGAAGGCCUCGG